UUAACUCAGCAGUGCUUCUCUCUUCCCCAUGACCCAACCUCGUUUGUUUCCUUUCGCUCUGUGUGUGAUCUUCAUAGUGAUUAGAAAGUGUGGGAGUUCGGAGAAGAUCUGAUGUGGGUACUAUUUUGUGUAUUUCAUACCCGAAUCUCUUGUCCAAUUUGAUUCAUGAACACCCAAUGGCGUUCAGGAGGCCAUUUCUUGGUAUAUUGAUUUUAUCAAAUGCACUUCGAAGCUUCAAUUCAAAUAGGUCAGCUUGAUCCCAACUUUGUGUCGGAAGAAGACUACAUGGAUUAUGCUUCACCAACCCCAGUGAUUUGAAACAGAGGGAUCUCUUUGGUUUCUUAAUUAAGAGAUCACUCCUCCCCUGUAUCCCUAGAUACAAAGCAGAGAAGAGAAGAAUGUCAGCACCUUUCUCACCUUUUACAAAUUUAGCAAGAAAUGGAGACUGUAGUAGGUGUGCUGCAACCAGGACCUUUGGGUAUUAUUGAACACAAGUUCUCCGCAGAAGAAGUACGUCAA